rnacentral:lncRNA from 1 species
UUUCCAUGGCUGCGGGCGGCGGGGGGAGCAGCAACGGCGCUGCCCGGGCCCCCCCUGCCUCAUCCCUCCGUCCGGCCCUGGGACGCGGAGGAGCCGGACCUUGGAUUGUGACCUGCGGGCGAAAGAAUCGGUUAAACGGCCAGGCCAAGGCGGGGAGGCCAGGAGCGUAGGCCGCGGGGCGUCCCACCUCCUCCUCCCCCGGCCGCCGCGGCCCCUUUAAGACGGAAGCCACCGCCGCUGAUUGAACGGGGGAGGGGAGGGGAAAGCGGGAAAGACCGAACCACUGGGCAGCAGCUCAGAGGGGGAACCGGAAAGAAAAGCACAAACUCUCCGCUCUCUCUGUUAGCUUGUCAUGUAGCGAUAGGAAAAAGAAGAGCCAGCAAGCUUCACGCCUUCUGAAAACCGCUUAGAGACGCGAUUUGGCCGGCGGAAAUAUUUUUCUUUGCUUGGCCCCCUCUGUGACGCUCCUCCCCGCGCCCCGCCUUGUGUUCGCCCGGGUGUAAACAGUCCAUUGAAUUAAGCCCUAGCGGAGCCCAGCGGACCGACCCAAGUCCCCGAGGGCGACGGGUAGAAGGGAUUGGCUGAAAAGUUCGGCUUCUCGGAGUGCGACUGGCCGAGGACCCGAUUUCCCUUCCCAAGCGCGGAGGCAGUGGCAGUAACUCCAGCCUCGGCGCUGGCCUUCAGUCCUCCAACGGCGCCCUUACCUGGCCCGCGCACCUCCACUUCCGGGCGGCCCGUUUCCCCCCUGGAGCCCCUGCCUGGGGAUGGUCCGCUCCGGGCCCGGGCUGCCUCCGGGACCGAGCAGCGCGGGAGGUGGCGGCCCGAGCCCGGCGUGUAGCGGAUCCUUCUGCUGCCGCGGCGCUCGCUGGGGAAGCCUGGGCUCCUAGGCUCCCGUGGCUUUCCACGUGUUCGCGCCAGCUGAGCCCUUUACAUAACCUCUUUACAUAAGCUGCACCUCCCGCCGGCGCCCGGGCCAGCGGAGACUCCUGGUGGCCCAUCCCCCGGGACGCCAGCCGAGUGAGCCCUGCACCGCCCGGUCCUGCAAAGGUCGACGGAGCAGCCGCAGCCGAGCGCACCGGCACGCCUUGCCGGGACCCAAUCACUGGCGAGAACACCCAGCCAACAAAAAAUAGGCGCGAAAUUCCCGUGAUCCGCGGCGGGCUCCGGGUCUCCGCAGCGGCCCGCGCAUCACUAUCCCUUCUCGCCUGAUCUGCGUGAAGACCAACCGUCCGCAGUAGGCGCCUAAUAAAUACUGACUGGGUGAUUGUCUUGGUCGUUUGAUUCAUAGCUCUGUCCUGGGAACCUCAGGGACUGGGUUGGAAUCCCGACCUUCCCUUCUACCAGCCCAGUGAUCUUGUGCAAAUCAUUGACCCACCCUGAGCAUCCGUUUAUCUAAUGAUCCUCUGCAAAAUGGAUAGAAUGGGCUUUAAUUCCCAGGAAUGAUAGACCCAAAUGAAAUACCUAGAUGGAGGCUAAUUGGGUGUGGGGCUGUUAGUACCCAAAGCUCCCAUUUAGGCACAGAUUUUUGAAUAUUUUGUUCUGUAUUUUGUAUUCCAGUGUAGGCCUAGUGGGUGCCCAGUGUUUGUUAACUGAAUCUACAGAUGUUUAUUGAACACCCGUAAUGUGCUAGGCACCAUUCCAAGUCGCUGGGGAAAGAGCAAUAGACAAGGCAGUUUCUGCCUUGGUUGAGGUUCUGUGCCACUGCAGGAGACAAACCACAUGGGUGGCCUUGGGCAAGUUAGUCAACCUUCUUGUGUAUUUGUUCCUUACCUGUAAGAAGAUCCACAGAGGUUAUACAGGUAAAGCACUUAGGACAGCCUUGCACACAAUGUUAAGUAUUAUUAAAUAAAUGCACAGGAUAAUUUUU